rnacentral:misc_RNA from 1 species
CAGCUACAUAGAUUCAAACAUGCAAAACCAAGAUUUAUUUGUAAAGAGAAUGUGCACUGAACAGUGAACGAGCCAUUACUUCCAAUAGGUUCCAAAACACAGGACAAUAACCACAUUUCUGUAAGCAUGCCAUGUCUUAAAGUGCCUACUGCCUGACAUGAAUUUUUUUACAACAUCGGUAAAUAAAUUAAUUUAACAUCUUCUUAAAAUUUGGUGAAACCAAUGUUCAUACAAUGGUUUCAUUAUAACUGUUAAUUAUGGUAGGAUCUAUGUAGCUG